rnacentral:rRNA from 1 species
UUGCAUGGGGGCACCCUGACCGCAAUGCCGCGUGAGUGAAGAAGGCCUUCGGGUUGUAAAGCUCUUUUGUCAGGGAAGAAACAGCAGCUCUAACACAGUCUGCGAAUGACGGUACCUGAAGAAUAAGCACCGGCUAACUACGUGCCAGCAGCCGCGGUAAUACGUAGGGUGCGAGCGUUAAUCGGAAUUACUGGGCGUAAAGCGUGCGCAGGCGGUUAUACAAGACAGGCGUGAAAUCCCCGGGCUUAACCUGGGAAUGGCGCCUGUGACUGUAUAGCUAGAGUGUGUCAGAGGGGGGUAGAAUUCCACGUGUAGCAGUGAAAUGCGUAGAUAUGUGGAGGAAUACCAAUGGCGAAGGCAGCCCCCUGGGAUAACACUGACGCUCAUGCACGAAA